rnacentral:lncRNA from 12 species
AUGCCCGAUGGGCCUCCGUCCUGCUCCUCGGUCUGGGCCCAGCGCGGGGCCCUCGCAGGAACCCUUGGCUCCCUCUCCAGACGCUGGGGCCAAAGGGCGGGGGCGUGCCGGGGGCGGGCUGCUCGGGAGGGCCCCUGCCCCUCGGGCACCCACCCACAGAGGCUGAACUGUGCCCUGCGCCGACGUGUCCGGACUCCACACCCCCACCUCGCUGUCCAGCUAAGCCCAGGAAAGCACCUCAUGGGUGAGGUCGCGGCUGGGUCCCCGGCGUGGGGGUGUGGCCAUGGCUCCGGAACCCGUGGCCUCUCCCCAGGAAGGCAGCUUGGACUCCCAAGGGGGCCCAGGGACCCCAAGCCCCGCUGCGACCCGCCUCCCUGCAGGGGAGGCACGGCCUCUGGCUUGAGCCCGGGGGGCCCCCAGGAGAAGCCCCCAGACCAGGAGGGCGAGGGGAGCGCUCAGGCUCAUGGGAGGAGGGGAGGGGGUCCCCAGGAGAUGAAGGAAGGAGGGGACACCCCGGGGGGGAGGACAGCCUCUGACCCCCCGGCCCAGCUUCCAGGGGACUGUCCCCUCUGGCAGCAUCUGACCCCCACCUCUCCUCCUGACCCAGCGCCUCCUGCCUCCCCUUCCAGGCACCAAGGGGCCCCGGGGGACAGGGUGCCCUGUCAGGGGGUCCUGGGCGAGGCCCUCCAAGCUGGUCCCGAGGUAGACACGGGAUGGGCAGUUCUAGCCGCCCUGGGGCCCGCAGCCAAACCCCUGCCUGAGGACAGAGGCCACCCCUUCCUCCCCCGCCGGCUCCCUCCACGGAGCCAGCCUGAGCCAGGACGUGGUUGCCCGGGGCUCCCGGACCCAAGCAGACCGCCCGGUUUGGGUGGGGGGUUCUGGCUUAGGGGCGUUGGGCAUUACCUCCUCAUGAUGAGGUCCUCUUCCCAGUGUAGACGGUGCUCUCGGGGACCGAUAGUUCAGAUCCAAGUAACUGGAUCCAGUGACUCAGAUCUGCUCUGCUCCUUCCGCCGGUUCCUCGGGCUUUAUGGCCCCAACGUGGGCGGAUCUGGACAGAGAAUGUCCGGAUGUUGCUUUGCGACCUGGAGGAUUGGAGCUGAAACUGGGCUGACAGGUGGUCCGGAAGCUGGAAAACCGUCCCGACCUCCCACCCCACCCCUUGUGCUCCUGGCACAGGCCUCCUCCUGGAGCGGGUUUGCCCGGAGCCACGGGCAAGGGGUGGGGCUCUCCCCAGUCGGACUGGGCAUCCUUAGGGGGAGCCACGUCGGGGCCCUGGCGUGGACACGGACCCUGGCACAGGCGCCUAGAGAAGGGCGCGCACCUGCGGCCGAGCCUUGGGUGGGAACGGGGCCUCCCCGCAGGGCCCCCCUGCCCCAACUCCAGGGUGCUGCUACAGGGGCCCCACGGUCCUGCGUGCUCCCAGCUUUAUUUAUGAAUAAAUAA